GAUCAUGGCUCAGGAUAAACGCUGGCGGCAUGCCUAAUACAUGCAAGUCGAACGGAGUUACCUUCGGGUAACUUAGUGGCGAACGGGUGAGUAACACGUAGGUAAUCCAUCCUAAGGACGAGGAUAGCUUCUGGAAACGAGGUAAAACUGGAUAGUUAUUAAAGGGCAUCCUUUAGUUAUUAAAAGAGCAAUCUACCCUGGGAAGAGCCUGCGGCGCAUUAGCUAGUUGGUGAGGUAAUGGCCCACCAAGGCGAUGAUGCGUAGCCGGACUGAGAGGUCGACCGGCCACAUUGGGACUGAGACACGGCCCAGACUCCUACGGGAGGCAGCAGUAGGGAAUUUUCGGCAAUGGGCGGAAGCCUGAACCCGAGCAAUGCCGCGUGAAUGAUGAAGUAUUUCGGUAUGUAAAGUUCUUUUAACAGGGACGAAAAACAAAUUGACGGUACCUGUUGAAUAAGCUCCGGCUAACUACGUGCCAGCCGCAGC
rnacentral:rRNA from 1 species